rnacentral:rRNA from 1 species
AUUGAACGCUGGCGGCAGGCCUAACACAUGCAAGUCGAGCGGAUGAAGGGAGCUUGCUCCUGGAUUCAGCGGCGGACGGGUGAGUAAUGCCUAGGAAUCUGCCUGGUAGUGGGGGAUAACGUCCGGAAACGGGCGCUAAUACCGCAUACGUCCGGAGGGAGAAAGUGGGGGAUCUUCGGACUUCACGCUAUCAGAUGAGCCUAGGUCGGAUUAGCUCGUUGGUGGGGUAAAGGCCUACCAAGGCGACGAUCCGUAACUGGUCUGAGAGGAUGAUCAGUCACACUGGAACUGAGACACGGUCCAGACUCCUACGGGAGGCAGCAGUGGGGAAUAUUGGACAAUGGGCGAAAGCCUGAUCCAGCCAUGCCGCGUGUGUGAAGAAGGUCUUCGGAUUGUAAAGCACUUUAAGUUGGGAGGAAGGGCAGUAAGUUAAUACCUUGCUGUUUUGACGUUACCAACAGAAUAAGCACCGGCUAACUUCGUG